UACGGGGGGAGCAAGCGUUGUUCGGAUUUACUGGGCGUAAAGGGCGCGUAGGCGGCUCGGUAAGUAGGGGGUGAAAUCCUGCGGCUUAACCGCAGGGCUGCCUUCUAAACUGUCGAGCUUGAGCACGGUAGAGGCAGAUGGAAUUCCCGGUGUAGCGGUGGAAUGCGUAGAGAUCGGGAAGAACAUCAGUGGCGAAGGCGGUCUGCUGGGCCGUUGCUGACGCUGAGGCGCGACAGCGUGGGGAGCAAACAGG
rnacentral:rRNA from 1 species